rnacentral:rRNA from 1 species
GACAGAGGUGCCGAGCGUUAGGCGGAAUCACUGGGCUUAAAGCGUAUGUAGGCGGAGUUCUAAGUACCUUGUGAAAUCCCACGGCUUAACCGUGGAACUGCUUGGUAUACUGGUUCUCUUGGGCCAUCUAGGGGCUAGCGGAACAAACGGUGGAGCGGUGAAAUGCGUAGAUAUCGUGUGGAACGCCAAUGGUGAAAACAGCUAGCUGGGGAUGUGCCGACGCUGAGACACGAAAGCCAGGGGAGCGAACGGG